GGUAGAAUGGCUGAGUUAGGCAUUAGACUGUAAAUCUAAAAACAGAGGUGAUCACCUCUUUCUAUCA
rnacentral:tRNA from 1 species